UACGUAGGGUGCAAGCGUUGUCCGGAAUUAUUGGGCGUAAAGGGCUCGUAGGCGGUUUGUCGCGUCGGGGGUGAAAACUCAGGGCUUAACCCUGAGCCUGCUUCCGAUACGGGCAGACUAGAGGUAUGCAGGGGAGAAUGGAAUUCCUGGUGUAGCGGUGAAAUGCGCAGAUAUCAGGAGGAACACCGGUGGCGAAGGCGGGUCUCUGGGCAGUAACUGACGCUGAGAAGCGAAAGCGUGGGUAGCGAACAGG
rnacentral:rRNA from 1 species